UUGGCUGCCUGGAGACACCAGCUCUGCUCAGAAGCCUCCCCAUGGAGGAGGUUGGGGCUCAGAGUCCCACACUAGCACUGAAAAUUUAGGGUAGUCAAUCAACAGGAGACUUUAAAUUGUGUUUCAAGGCCAAACAGCAUCCUUGGGCCAGGGAUGUGGGAUUUUACCUGGGGACCAUUUGCAGAAGUUACAGAAAGAGCUGCUGCAAACUGUUUUAUAGGUGGAGAUGGAUGAAAGGAUCUGACCAAAAUUAUUCAUGAUGCUCUAUUUACAGCAUGUGUCAUUUUGAAGUCUUACAGCACCUUGGCCCAUCUACUUUUUCACUGGGGCUUGUUUGUGCAGGAAAGUCAAGUUUCAUACAAAAACAUAUUUUAGCUCUUUGGCUGUUGAAGCUUCAGUGGGGAACUUGGGAAAAAAUUCAAUUUUUCAAUACUUGCUCCAUAUUCAGAUGUUCCAAAGCCAGUUUUUAUUCCAGCUGGUCUUAGUGCUGGAUAAAUAGAUCAAUUUGAUCUAUUUAUUAUGAGAAAUAAGAGAAUGGAGAAAAAUUUGGCUAAUCCCCAAUGAGUUGUUGACCUAAAAUAUGUUCUCCAACACAAGCAGCUCUUAACUCUCACUAGCAGGGCUUGUGUCAGAGUGCAGGGCAGUGUGAGGAGCAGCCUGCACCCUCUCUCCUGUGCUCUGAGCUGUUCUGCAGACAAUGGACUCAGGUGCCUCCUCCAGCCUAGGUGAGACGUGCCUUGAGCACAUCUGAGAGGUGGCAGCACAUGCCAGCAAAGGAUCCCUGUGAGUGGGCUGGGAGGCCUCUGAGCUCUCUGUGGGCAGGGAGACAGAAAAAGCCACAGCCUGAAGGCCAUGGGGACAGGCCCUGAAGGCCAUGGGGACAGGCUUGGAGGAGCUGCUACCCAGCCCUUGAUGGGUCCCAGCAGGGCGUGGUUCAGUCAGAAGAUGUUUGCUUUGCCCUUCCCUCUUCCUUUUGCCUUUUCAGGGUGGUGCUGCCAGUCUUUAGCACCACAUGCCCUGGCAUCUGCCCUGCUGUUCCCACUGCCCUUCCCCUGGAUCGAUGUGUAAAUCCAGCCCCGAGGGGAUGGCACUGUGACACCUCACCAAAAGUGUAAAUCCAGCCCCAGGGGAUGGCAGUGUGACACCUCACCUGCCUGAGGCAGGAGACCCUGGCACGGUGCUGCUGCACCGUUUCUCUCUUCACAGCCACAGCUGGGCUCCACAGAGGUAUUUCUGCUUUUCUCCAUGGUUGGUGUAAAUGAUUUGCUGGUAAAUGUUAUCAGAGCCUUCCCAAGGGAGCUGCUGCCUCCCACCCUCCACUCUGAGCCUGUGUCUGUAAUCGAUGCUGCUUCUGCUUUAAUGCUUCAACCCCAGCCCAUCUCCAUGGCAGUGCUUCUGCUGCAGUUCUGCAUGUCCUGUGCUCCCCAUGGCCCCACCUGCCCCACAGCCCUGCCAGCCCCAGUUUCGCCCCCACACCUGCAGCACAGUGCACCUGAACGUCUGCCAGGGCUCCCACUGGUGAACAGCUCCUGGUGAUCACAGCAAGGGGCACUGGGGGUGUUUGGGCUGCAUGUGGCUGCACCAAAGCAAAGGUGCUUGUGCUUUCUAAAGCUUCUGGAAAACUCUUAUUGAAGAAAAUUGUGUUUUGCUUUCCCCCACAGAAGCCUGAAUCAAAGCCAUCAGCCACUUGCCCUGUGGGCUGAGCCUGCCCGAGGGUCACACCCUGCUAUUAAGGCAAGAGCAAAUAGCAAGGUAAGAUUUGUAUUCUCUGGGGUGCAAGGUGCUCCCACACCCCUGAUGCUGGGGUGUGCAGAAGCAGCGGGUGCUGGCUCAGCAGCUCCCUUGUCUGGAGCAUUCCUUGUGCUUUGGAAGCUGGAUGUGCCCAGAGCUGCUGGCCUGGCCCUGCUGUGACCCCCAGUGAGGUUUGGGACAGGCAGGGCCCCAGCAGCGCUGGCAGCAGCAGGACGGGUGACGCACAGGUCACACAGCACGAUGCCACUUGUGCUAUUGCAUAAAUCAAGGGGAUUUGGGUGAGGGCAACGAGGGCAACUUGGGGCUCUGAGCUGGGGAGGAUGAGGCCGUGGAAGAUUUUGAUUUUCUACACUGAACAGUCUGAGGGUGGGGGCUGUGGCCACACUUGGACCAGUGGGGAGAGACUGAGGGUAGCCCACGCUGAGGAGGGAGGUGGGCUGCAGUUCCCCCACCAGGCUCUCACCCCUCUGCCAGCUUUGCUCAAUUAUGGGAAAUCCUUUAAGCUUUUGCAUUAGUGCUGUAUUUAGGUCUGCACUGUAUUAGGGCUUGGCAUAGGGAGCACAGUGAGAUUUCUCACUUAAUAAAGAAUGUUUUAAAGGCAUUUGUCACCGUGCCUGCUGCUGGGAGCCAGCUCUCUGGGCAGGCAGGGAGGGUGCUGGGGGAGGUGAGGGAGUUGGGCUGGCUCCAAGGCCUGCUGUGCUUGGCCCUGGCCAUGUCCCAUCCCUGUCCCUGUGCUCCCACACUGAACAGAGGGUCCUGGUGUGCCCCAUUACCCACCCAGCCAGGGGGUACCUCAGGCUGUGCAUCCCAGGGCUGCAGCUGGCGACCUCCCCACCCAUCUGCACCAGCACAGCUGCUGGCAAAGCCCAGCCACCCUCCCGUGAGGCUGCAGGGCUGCUGUGCUGGCAGGAGGCCCAUCCCCUCCUGCUGGCAGUAAAUGUGUCAUCGUGGUGAGCAGGGAUCAUGAGUCACCAACGCCCACCCCAGCCAGCCUGGCCAGCCCUGGCACCGGGCUGCAGAGCAGGAGCUGGGACAGAUCUGCCUCCUCCUCCUCCCUCCUCCUCUGCCUCUCCCACCUGCGGCCUCACCAGCCUGCAUCUUCCACAGGGCACCAAAUGAUGGGGUGUCCCUCAGGCAGCACUUACCUGGGGCUGAGGUGACAGUCAGCUCCUCUGCACGAGUGUGGGGAUGUGUCCCCCCCCAGCCCUGCUUACAGGAGUCUGACACUGCCAUAACUCUGCCCCUGGACAGCUUAGCAAGGAUGGGGCUGAGGGGCUGCCUGAGGAAAUGUGUGUCCCCUGGACUGUAAAUAGCUGAAGCUGGGGCUGGGCCAGCUCAGGGUCUGCUACUGGGAGCCAGGAGGAGCCUCUGGACUCCCCUUUCAGUGUGGAUUUUUCUCUUAAUUUGGUAAUUGUUCAGCCAACAGAGUACUAGACAGAGAUUUUGAGCCUCUGGUGAUGGGCUGUGGCAAAUGGCCCACACUCUUGUGGAGGGCAAAGCUCAACCCUUGCUUGAGGGCAAGUGAGGAGCCUCCUCUCCCUGCUCGGCCUCGUGAGUGUCACUUCAGCACUUGGAUCCUGAGUGUGGAUCAAUCCUGGCCCUGGAGAAAGCCAGGCUCCUGGAUCAGCCCAUGGCUGCUCAGGAAGGACAGGAGAGAAGCUGUGCUGUGGCUCAGGUGACAUCCCUGGGCAAGCCCAGUGUAGGUGCAUGUGGCAGCCCCCUUGUUGGGGGCUCAGCUGGGAGCCCUGGCAGCCUCUUCCCCUUUCCCUCAGAGCUGCUGUGUGAGCAGGAAAAGCAAAAUUUUGUGGGAUUGUUGUGGAUCUGCUGCUGAUCUCCAGGCCCCAGAGCAAAAGCCUCUCCCAAAACCACCACUGGGGUCCCCAGGGAGGGCCCCAGACCCAGAGAGAAAUCAUCAGGCAGGGAAAGCUUUCAUUUCCUUUCUGUCUUUGCCUUCUCCAGGGCCAGGCUUGAUUACUCCUUUCAGCAACACAAAGUGCUAGAGAGGCUCAGCAGCCAGAGAUCAAUUUUCUCUGCUCUUGGUGCAAUGUGUCUGUGCAGGGGGAAGUGGCUUUUUCCCUUCCCUUCCCAUUGUGCUGAGGCUUGGUGGGUGGCACCAGGGGCAGUGGCAGCUGCAUUGCCAGAGGGAGGGUGGCAGGGAAUGUGUGCCAGCCCUCACCUGGUGCUCUGCUGAUGGAGGGUGUCAAAGCCUUUCACUCACAGCCAUUGAAGAGCAAAGACAUUGCUGGGAAAGAAAUCCCAGCUUGUCUCAGGCAUCAGUACCACUCUGAGGCAGGGUGGGACUCACCACUGCUGCCUCUGCUCCUGCUGUGACAUCCCCUCUCAUUCACCACUUGCUAAUGGAGGAUGACUUUCUUUCUAGGGAACAUGCAAAAAUUUGUCUCCACAGGAAUAAUAUGCAAAGAUCUCAUGUUUAAGUGAUUGGAACAUCGUGGCAGCACAAGGACUUUCCUUGGCCAAGCACUUUAACCCCUUGGUUCCCAGGCUCCUGGAGCAGUCAGCCUCUGAUGUCUGCUGGUUUGGCUGCUUUGGAUGACGAUGAUGAUGAUGGAUGCCACAUGUCAUCCAGGCUACAGCUCUCCAGGGUGUUAUGAAGACUCUUCCUGGUGUCUGGAUCAUCUCCAAGCAGCCAGGUGUUCUCUCCAGGAGAGCUGACAGGCUCUGGUGUGGAGGACACACAGCUUUGUCCCAUCGGCCUCCCUUGACAGGGAAGCUGAUCAAGUGUCUCAUAAUGAGCUCGCCGUGCUCCUGCUCUGCAAUGCUUUGUUGGCUGCUGGCAAAGGCAGCCUGGGGGGAAGCUCUGCCUGGCUCCCACUGCCCAUGGUUCUGCCACUGCACUGCCAUGGAAAGCCUUUCCCUCUGCCCUCAGGCUGAGCUCUGGAGGCAGCUCAUCCAAGAUGUGCAGGGUGGCCAUCUGGGGACAUGUGCCAGGCACGGGGACUCUCUGCUGGUGUGUUUGUGUGGCUGGGGAAAAGAGCUGGAUGGGAAAGUGAGUGUCCUCAGCAUGGGAAACAGGGCCAUGCCAGGAAGAUGGCCUGUGAUAUUCUGAUUUGAUAUUCCAUGACUCAAAAUAAAGUGGGAUGUGCCACCCUGCAGCAUUUGGUGGCAGUGGCAGUGCCCACCUGGGAAGAAUCUCCCACGUGCCAUGAGUGCUGCCAGAGCUCAGACAUUGUGCAUCCCAUGCACAAUAAGGAAAGUGCCACCAGUAUUCCUACAGAAAUGUCCCUGUGUCACCCACCCAAGGCACUGAGGAGCCACGAGGAGCUCAGUGUCUCAGUGACACUGCCUGUCCAGGGCUGGGGACAGCACAAGGCAGGGGUGCUCUGGUCUCAGGUCACCGCACAACCUGGCAGUGCCCGCCCGGGGACUCGGCACGCUUUAAUGAGCUCAGAGCCUGCACGGAGGAAUUAACGACUCAGAAUAAUACUUGUCACUUCUCUGGGAGGAAAUUGUCAAGUGAAAAGCAAUUUACUAAAAAAGGAGGGAGGAAAGAAAUGGUUUUGCUUAUUAAGAUCAACAUCAUAUUAAAGUAUUUUCUCAAUACCCCAUUUGGGUUGAAUUUUACAUUUUCUCUCUCUUGUUCUCACCAAUGGGAGUAAAGCAGGAGGUUUCACUCUAAUUAAUUGUUGUCUGCUUCAUUUGGCCAGCAAAUUUCAUGAGCAAGGUUACACAUUUCUGUAGCAUUUGAAUUUCAAAUGCUGCAGGAAUAUGAUAAAAAAAGGAAAACACAUGGAAUUCUAAAAGCAAAUGGAAACCUUUCUGUAAGACAUCAGUUUAAAAUUGCUUUAUACUUACAAAUCUUAAAAAUAUAUCUUGUCUGGGUAUUUACCUUCCCCCUCCUUUCUAUUCAUUUGGAGUUUAAAGCAACAGGUUUGGUUUAUGUAUUCACUGUUGCCUUUUUCAGCCUUAAGGAGCUGUAUUUUCAGUUUUACUCUACUGUUGGCUAGAAAUUUUAAAACAUAUAUAUAUAUGUACAUGUAUAUGUAUAUGUACAUAUAUAUAUAUAUAUGUACGUAUGUAUGUCUGUAUAUGUAUUUCUCUGAAGAGGCUGUCCCAUGUGUUGGUGAUUUAACAAAGGCAAAUCUGAGGACAGCCCUGCUCAGCUUUGCAGAAAUUUGUGGAAGGUGGUACCAAGGAGAGGGUGCUGUGCUGGCAUCGUGUUGGGUGUGUGCAGGACAGGCCACUCUGAGAGCCAGAAGCUGCAGCUCGGUGUGAGCCCAACAGACCCAGAGAGCAAAAGCUGGAGGUGCUUCCAGGCACUGCAGAAAGGAUUACAGCAGCUUGGACUGUGAAGGGCAACGAGGAGAGAGCUCAGCUCGACGUCUGGAGAAAAUAGGAAGAGGAAUGACCCGUGAAAGCACAUUGCUGGCUUCACCAGCACGCCCUGCUUACGUGGAGCUGUGGCUCAUCACCACCCAGAGACCAAGAGACCCACUCACAUCCUGCAGGCAGGAGGUGCAGCAUCAGAGGGGACAACCAGGAGAGAGGGCUGGUGGGGAGCUGAGGGGCUGCAGGCACUGAGUGUGGCUGCCUGUGGUGCUGAUCAGCUCCUGGCCAAGCUCUUCUAAAUGGCUGCUGAUCUGGUACCAUGUCUGUGAGCCAGAGAAGAUGCUUCUCCCAGAAAUCCCAAUAGUCGCCUUGUUGUAUCAAUUAUAUUUCAGUGCAGCCCUACUUCUGCUUUGGAAUUGGUAAUUGCUUUGGGUAAUGUCCUUUACCUCUUUUAAAGCACCAUCAUGUCUUUUGUUGCAACUAAAGUAAUGGCUAAAAGCUGAGGGAUGGCAGAAAAUCAGAAAUUUCUGAGAAAGGUCCUCAGGAUUUGCCUCUGAGUCAUCUCUAUAUUGGCAGGAAAAGCUGGCAAAAAAGAAAAGCAUCUCUGCAGGUUCUGAAACAGCCCCAGAAUUAGGAGACUGGGCCAGGUGGACACAUUCCACCCCUAAGACACAUUUCACUGGAACCUAAUAGGGCUGAGAUCAAAAGCUGUCAUUGCAUUUAUGUGACUGGUGUAACACGACCUCCCUGAAUGAGCUGCAUGUGAGAGCAGCCCCCGGUGCUCCAGCAGCCAUUCGAGCCCUGAGGAGCUGGUCCUACCCUGCAGCUUCCCUGCUGAACACCAUAAGGCACAAUAAGUGGAUUAGCAAAACCUCUGGAAGAGGCAAAGAAGAAAGGACGCGGGGCCUUAAGCUGGUUUUGCAUGUAUUUACGCAAAUGACGUCCCCAGCUAGAUGGUAACUGAGGUGAAAGCUGGGCUAGCCCUGCUGCCCUGGCUCAGCAGCUGCUGCAGCCCUCCUGGCAGAGGAGAGCCUGGUUUGCAGCUCGAGCAGACACAGGCAGUCAGAGCAGAUCGAUGAUGGCAGCAGGGACAGCCCACAAGAGGUGGUGGCAGGCACACAGCACCCACACCGUGCCUGCAGUGGGGAGACUUUGGCUGCUGGGGGGUGCUGCAGUCCCACCCUGGCAUCCACAGGACACGUUCCAGACUCCUCACUCCAUCCAUGGCUUGGAGAGGCUCCUUUGUCACCUCUCAGGGUUCUGCUCCCAGUCCCACCUCCCUGCUGGGCGCAGCACCAGGCAGGAUUCAUCUCUCACGUUGGUGAGGUGGGGAUUGCAAUUAUUCCUGGCCCUUGCUUGUGCCAUCUGUCUGUUCCCUGAACAACCCUGCAGGAUCUGUGUCUUAGCAGGUUAAUUUAAUAAGAGCCUGCUUUAUUGUUGCUGGCUGCAGGCACAGCAUAGAGCAGCUGAGUCCAUCAACAGCACAGAGCUGCUCUGGCAGCAAUCGAACCCUGCCCGGAUGCUCAUUUGGGAAGGUUGUUCUGCUGAGAAAGGGCAAACCCUCCUGGGGCAGCAGUGAGGGCUGAGCCCUGCUCCUUUCUCCUUGGCAGGAGCUGUGGAGAAAGUGGCAGCAGAGAUUAAAUCAGGCCUUUGACCCGGGAUGUGCCACACCUCAGGGGAGGGGAUGGUGAUAGCGAGGGAGUGGCAGAGGUGGUGUUGGCAGGAGGUGCCAUGUGUGGCUGGCUCAGGGCUUGGCCUUUUAUGGCAGAAGCAGCUCUUCCCAUGGAGACUUUCAAAACCUUUUACAUCACCAGCUAUUUUUGUGGCUCAGGAUAUGUGGUAGGGCACAAGGUGGUGAAAGAGCCGUGCAAACUGUUUAAUGAAGGGAAUGACUUGUCUUAAGGAUAACAAACAACCUGGUGCACUUUGGGAUAGGCCCUUUUUUCAGCUAUAGGCAUCUAUGUCCAGGUAUAAAGUCAUGUGAGCUGGGAAAUAAAUCUUGGCAAUCCAAAUCAAUACUGGAGGAGGGGAAAAAUCCAUUUUCCCAAUCCUGUGUCCACCUGCUUGAACUUCCCCUCAGCCCAAGAGCCAGACAUUGCUGGUUAAAGUCAAUUGCACAAAAAUAUAUUUGGCUUCUCUCCCACUGUGCUCUUUGCCCCUUCCUCUCCCGCAGCCAUUCCUCCACCCAUCACACAUAAUGGACCAGCGUUGCCACAAAGACGUGCACAUAAUGAACCUAAGUGACCGUGUAAUCUUAUUAUUGUCACCCUCAUCCUCCCUUGCCCCUUCUCUCCCUCCCCCCAUUUGUCACUGUCGCCGAUUGUGUCAUGGUUAAAAUUAGAUGGGAAGCUCCUCUGGGAGCAACUGCGGCUUUCCUUUAUCCCCAGCACCCUGAGUGCAUUAAGGUACUUUGCAACAACUCGUGAUUUCUAAUGGGGUUAAAGUAGGAGGCAGCCUGUUUUAAUGCUCACCUUUUUACAUUUUCAAGCUGAUUCACCAGCCACAUGAAAAUCUUCCAUCCAGGCACGUCUGCCUCCUGCCAGCAAUUCACUUGACAACACAAUUCGGGAGGCAACAGUGAAGGAAGGAGAGGCCUUUUUACUUACAUGUAAUAAAGAAGAGUGAAUCAAAUUUGGUGUAACUUAAGUAAGAUUUGUUCUGGAGGAUAAAAGUCCUCAUUGACCUUUUUCCAUAAUGGACAUGUUCUCUUUAUGGAAAGAAAGUGAAUAAAAUAAAGCUGUUUGUGAAAACA